rnacentral:rRNA from 1 species
UACGAAGGGGGCUAGCGUUACUCGGAUUGACUGGGCGUAAAGGGUGCGUAGGCGGCGCGGUAAGUCGGGUGUGAAAUCUCGGAGCUUAACUCCGAAACUGCAUUCGAUACUGCCGUGCUUGAGGACUGGAGAGGAGACUGGAAUUUACGGUGUAGCGGUGAAAUGCGUAGAUAUCGUAAGGAAGACCAGUGGCGAAGGCGGGUCUCUGGACAGUUCCUGACGCUGAGGCACGAAGGCCAGGGGAGCAAACGGG